AGUGCCCUACGGGACGCAGCAGUGAGGAAUAUUGGUCAAUGGCCGGAAGGCUGAACCAGCCAAGCCGCGUGAGGGAUGAAGGUACAGAGUAUCGUAAACCUCUUUUGUCAGGGAACAAAGGCGGGGACGUGUCCCCGGAUGAGUGUACCUGAAGAAAAAGCAUCGGCUAACUCCGUGCCAGCAGCCGCGGUAAUACGGAGGAUGCGAGCGUUAUCCGGAUUUAUUGGGUUUAAAGGGUGCGCAGGCGGUCUGUUAAGUCAGCGGUCAAAGCCCGGGGCUCAACCCCGGCCCGCCGUUGAAACUGG
rnacentral:rRNA from 1 species